ensembl:lncRNA
UGGAUGUAUGCGUUAUCUCUGGUGACAAACCAGUCCUCGGAUCUGAUUUGAGUCACGACCUAUUUCAACGUCCGCAUCUUAAAUUUGAACCUUUGACAGAACAAUUUUGUCUGCACAGACCUAGAAUCAGACACAAGCCCUCAUCUCCCCAUGGAACAAUGAAGUACUGGAUGUGGAACCCGGACACCCUUUUAAGAGGAGAAACACAUUCUGUGGCCUUCCUUUCUCACGACUGCCUGUUCCACUAUUAGUGCUUGCUUGGGGCACACCAUCUGCAGGACCCAUUCAGACACAUUUGGCAGAAGCUUUCAUGCUGCCAAGAGGUCUACUAAAGGAAUCAGUCUCUCAAGAGUGGCCUCUGAUGUAUUUGGAGUAGUCAAUUCAGCACCCUUAAGGGGAUUUAGGGCAAAGAACAACCGACAUGACUGCUCUAGCGACCUCAUCUGAGUACCCUACCAUUGCUGGGCAGCAGCUGGGAACUUUGCUGGUUGGAGCCCACUGAGCCCUGAAGCACCGGUGGUGGCACAGGUAUCAGCAGGGCUGAGGAUAUCAGACCCUCGGAACUGACAUCUAUUAUAGCUAGAGUUUAAUUCAGUGUCCUGAAACAGAUGACCGCCAGGAAGUGACCAAUUUAUCCACUCUAGUGAACUCAUUUGGGGGGUGACAAGCAUUCUCGUGCCAUACCGUUUUCGAGCAGCAACUGAGAACAGUGCUCACUAGAGACCACUGUGCCCCAAAGCACCAAAUGUGGUGGGGUUAACAGACCGUCCUCCUGAGGACACUGAGGAGAGAUGGGCACCAUAUAAUGAUGUGUGAACCGUUUUUCCCCAAUUAAAGGAACCAUUCUCUCCAGCAAUCAGAUCGGUGCCCUGAAGCAGAUGACUGACAGGGACAAACCAAACUGGCUGCUUGAUAACCUCCUCAGAGGAUGCGACCCUCCUGGUGCCUCCACGUUUUUUUGGGCAGACACUGAGAACUGCAGUCGCUGGAGACCUGAUGCACCACAGGUUCCAGGCCUCUCUGCCCUUGAUGUCUUGCCAUUCCAUUGGACUGAUUUCAC